CGCCCACGACACGUAAUACCCCCUCCCCCUCGCUCACCCGCCCGCUUGUAUACAAUCUCGAUCACUUUUCAGCGCACCCACCCACCAAGUCCGCCCUCGACACAUCGCUUCUCCUCCCUAUCCAUCUAUCUAUAUCUCUGCCUGUCUGCACACUCCGUUUCCGUGCUUCAUCGUGCACCGCGUAAAAGCAAACGAAGAAGCGCCCCAGCCGUGUCGCUCAGCCCUCUGUCUCUCGACGGAAUAAGAUUGCGGCACCUGCUCCGGGCCCCCUUCCCUGGACUCGUCGCUCACGCAGAUGUCUUCUUCAGCGCCGCUGUCCACGCAGCAACCGGCGCCGCUACCGCCACAACCGCAGCAGCAACAGCAGCCCAUGCAGAGCGUGCUGGACGCUAUUCGCCAGCAGGGCUGGGGCGGUGCCUCCUCCGGUGGAGGUGCCGCGAUGCCCACAGUCGCCUCGUCUCGCGGGGUGGAGAGGCAUUCGGGGGCGAAGCUCGCAUGCCCCAAAAUACAUGAGGGGCACUCGGCCAUCUCCUCGCGGCCGUUCAGCGGUGACGGCGCUGACAAGCGCUUCGCCGCCAUUGCCGCCAUAGCCGCUACGAGGGAGGCGUCAGAGGCGGCAAACAACCCCUGCGACUCUAUGCAGCCGUCUGCGGACUCGCAGCAGUUGCGCGGUACCAAGGGCGAGUGUGCUCCCGCUGGCCACGCCAAUGCCGCCGCCGCAUUGAACAACACCAACGGCGUGUGCGAGGCUAUUAUUACAGCCGCGCGGUACGGGGGGAUCAUGGAACCCAGCGCGUCGGUGCCCGCGGUGGCUGCCACCGCUGCUUCGGUAAACUUCGCAGCGGAAGGAGAUGAACGCCGCCGCUUGUCGGGUCCGUUCGGGUCCUACUCGACCACCGACGAAGUCCUUCACAAAAAGUGUAACGACGUGCAGCAGGGCAGUGCGCUCGAGAGCGCGGACAGCCCCACGGAUGCCUCUGGCGGUGUGCUCGUGGUGUCUCCUGCCUACGCGGUGGUCCCAGCUCGCGUGAGCGAGGCUCCCUCGCCGGCCGGUGCUGAGAUGCAGCAGCUCCUGGCCGAUGCCCGCCGCGCCUACACGGCUGCUGAGGAGCGCCUGCUGGGCGACGGUCUUGCCUUGCGCGAGGACUGGAUGGGCACACGCGAUCUGUUUUUCGCAGCUGGCUCACUUUUCGCCGCCGUCGGCGAGGCGGCAGACGCGGCACGCUGCUUGCUGCACGCCACCUUCAUCAACCGCGCCUUCCAGAACGACAGUGAGGCGUUGGUGACAUUGGCGAUGUCAGUGGAGCAGCUGAAGCAGUCGCACCCGCGUAUCGCGGUGGACUCCCUGCUGCGGCUCGCGCCGUGCUAUGCGCAGCAGGAUCUUCGCUACCAAGCGGCUCGCUGCCACCGGGAUGCUGCUGAAAUACUGGAGAACAUUCUGGAGGCGAAGGAGGAGGCUGUCGUGCAGUACCGCGCCGCGUUGGACAUGUACGCCGAGACGAAAGUGGCCGCCGCCGAGACGGCGCGACGCUGGGAACGCCAGAAACAGCAGCAACGCACCGCCGCCGUCUGCGGCGAUCUCACCGGCACGCCACCGCUCCCCCCCUCCGCUGGCGCCUCCACGACCAACGGCGAUCUGACCAGCCCAACGGCGCCCAGUGGUGUCGAGGCCACAUCGCUUGGGCCGGAGCAGCCCUUCGUGUCGCCAAAGUCCACGGCGCUGGUACCCUCCAGCGGCGGUGCUUCCCUUACCUCAUCCGUGAAUGGGCAGAAGUCCCACUCCGUUGAAUUUCCCGCGCAUGCCCCCCCGCAGUAUCGAGUCAGUACGACAGUGCAGCGCAGUCUGGCCGAUUCCUGCCGCUGGCGUCUCGUGGUCCUUCUCACGCUCCUCGGCCGGUACGACGAGGCGCGUGAGGCGGCACUCGACUGUGCGGCGAAUGUGCCACGCACGCUACCAAAGACAAAAUACUUGCUCUACGCGACGCUGUGCGUGCUGGCGCGAGGGGCGUCCGUGAGGAAGGACAGCGUCUCUGACCCAGCGGCCGCUGCGGAGGCAGCGCAAGCUCGAGAGACGCCGACGAUACCCUUUACGGCAUCUGCCGCCGACACAGUGUACUUCGACAGCCUCUACGACACCGAAAAGUUCUUCCUUGCGCUGCAGGACGAGGACCGCACCUUCCAGCGCGGAAAGGAGAACGCGCUUGUGCGCGCCCUACUGGCGGCAAACCGGGCAUGCUCUCUGACGGCCUUCGACGAGGCCGUGCGUGCCUACAAGGAGUACUCGACAACGGAGCCGUGCGCUGCGUUUGAGUUGCUGGCGGGGGAGUGCCGGCGCAGCCUGUUCGAGCACAUGGAGCGGUUUGCGUGAGGGCGCGUGCGCGUGUGUCUGGAUGCACGUCACAUUCCUCUGCCCUAAACCCGUUAUUUUUUUUCGCGUGUGUGUGUGUGAGGGGGAGGAUGAGGGGGAGGGGUUUGCUUCUCUCACGUCCUCGACCUUUAUGCUUGCCUCUCUUACUGCGUUACGCAGGUGCAUGUAUAUAUGUGUAUGUGUAUGGAUAUAUGCACAGAUGUAUGUAAUGUGCGCGUUUCACCUUGUGUAUUUGCAUCCUUUCGCUAUGCUGAUCAUCUCAGCUUUCACGGUUGUGCAGCGGCACCCCUCUCUCCCACGCCUUCCCUCGACGUACCGCGUGCGUCUUGUGCACAGACACACACACACGCACACAUGUACAUAUCUAAGCAUGAGCGCGCCUUGUACAGAUUUCGCUUCGCUGAUGUAAGUCACCUGGGGAUGAGCGAUGCGCCAUCGGUAGUGUGGUGGCGGCGCACGCACACGCAAGAGACCCUGACGAGAAAUUCUAUUCAUGCGUAUGUGGCCGCCUCUUCGUGAUUGGUUCGCUUGUUACGCGCACCUCCUC
rnacentral:misc_RNA from 1 species